rnacentral:rRNA from 1 species
CACGUAGUUAGCCGGGGCUUCUUAAUCAGGUACCGUCAUUUUCUUCCCUGCUGAUAGAGCUUUACAUACCGAAAUACUUCUUCACUCACGCGGCGUCGCUGCAUCAGGGUUUCCCCCAUUGUGCAAUAUUCCCCACUGCCGCCUCCCGUAGGAGUUUGGGCCGUGUCUCAGUCCCAAUGUGGCCGUUCACCCUCUCAGGCCGGCUACUGAUCGUCGCCUUGGUGAGCCAUUACCCCACCAACAAGCUAAUCAGACGCGGAACCAUCGUAUACCACCAGAGUUUUUCACACCACUUCAUGCGAAGCUGUGCGCUUAUGCGGUAUUAGCACCUAUUUCUAAGUGUUAUCCCCCAGUAUACGGCAGGUUUUCCACGCGUUACUCACCCGUCCGCCACUAACUCAUAAAUCACUAGGUUUCAAUAUGAGUCCGUUCGACUUGCAUGUGUUAAGCACGCCGCCAGCGUUCAUCCUGAGCCAGGAUCAAACUCU